ensembl:lncRNA
GUAAUAGACACUGGAUGGGAUAAAAUCUAAGUAAUUUGAUACUCAUGAAUGUUCUCAACUCAUUUUAAGGCAUAUAAAACAUUUCAGUACCAAGAUUCGGCUUGAGAUCAUUUUCUGGCAGGAGGGAAACGACUGAAAUGUCUUAUAUUUUCCCAUGUGAAGGUGUUUCAGCUGGUAAUAGACACUGGAUGGGAUAUAAUCUAUGUAAUGUGAUACUCAUGAAUGUUAUCAACUCAUUUUAAGGCAUAUAAAACAUUUCAGUACCAAGAUUCGGCUUGAGAUCAUUUUCUGGCAGGAGGGAAACGACUGAAAUGUCUUAUAUUUGCCCAUGUGAAGGUGUUUCAGCUGGAAAGAGACACUGGAUGGGAUAUAAUCUAUGUAAUGUGAUACUCAUGAAUGUUAUCAACUCAUUUU